rnacentral:rRNA from 1 species
AUGGGUCCUCCAACUGCCUACUUCCAGGUAGUUGCUAAUGCUCGUAGGCGACACAACACCAUACCUCUCCUUUGGGAUGGGGACAACCUCCUACAACAGCCAUCCAACAUUCGGUCACAUGUUGACGAGUUCUAUAAGGCCCUCUUUUGCCUCUUCCCUUGGGGAGGCGUCGCCCUUCCUGGCUUUUGGGAGGGUCCUCAGUUAGUCUUGGAGGUAGAAAAUGCAGCCCUCACAACCCCCUUCUCUGAAGAGGAGGUCUCGGCUACCAUCAAAGGCAUGAACUCGUCCUCUGCUCCAGGCCCCGAUGGUCUGCCGGUAAAGUUCUUCCAGGUUUUCUGGAACACCAUCAAGGGCGAGGUGAUGGCGAUGUUCACCGAGUUUUACGUAGGCACACUAGAUCUCAACUGACUCAACUACAGGAUUAUUACGUUCCUUCACAAGGUCCCUGAGCCUUGGACAUCCGCCAGUUCCGCUCGACCAUGA